UUAUUUGAAAUAGGAUACAACCUCAAAUACUGGGUAAACAACAAUAAUAUUAUUGCUUAAGUCGGCCUAAAAGCAGCCACCUUUUAAAAAGCGUCAAAGCUUAAACACCCCUUACUAAUAAUCCCUGCAUAUUACCUGAACCCUUUAUUUCUACUGAGUAAUUUUAUACGAAUAUAAAAGCUAUUAUGCUAGAACUAGUAACAAGAAUAUACUUCUCCAAAAUGUCAGUAUGAACCAAAACGGACUAUCCAUUGGUAAUUAACGUUAAUACACCUAUUAUAGCAACAUACACAAGAAAACCCUAUAAACUCUAACGUCAACCUAACACUAGAACAUUUCAGGAAAGAUUAAAAGAGAAAGAAGGAACUCGGCAAAUUUUAGCCCCGCCUGUUUACCAAAAACAUCGCCUCUUGAACAAAUAUAAGAGGUCCAGCCUGCCCAGUGACAUAGUUUAACGGCCGCGGUACCCUAACCGUGCGAAGGUAGCAUAAUCACUUGUUCCUUAAAUAGGGACUAGUAUCAACGGCAUUACGAGGGCUGUACUGUCUCCUUUCUCCAAUCAGUGAAACUGAUCUCCCCGUGAAGAAGCGGGGAUUUUAAU
rnacentral:rRNA from 1 species